UACGUAGGGGGCAAGCGUUGUUCGGAAUUACUGGGCGUAAAGGGCGCGUAGGCGGCACGGCAAGUCGGGAGUGAAAGGCCUGGGCUCAACCGAGGAACUGCUUUCGAGAUUGCCGAGCUAGAGUGCGGAAGGGGCAACUGGAAUUCCCAGUGUAGCGGUGAAAUGCGUAGAUAUCAGGAGGAACACCGGUGGUGCAGACGGCUCUCUGGACCGUAACUGACGCUGAGACACGAAAGCGUGGGUAGCAAACAGG
rnacentral:rRNA from 1 species